CUGUGACCCACGAUGCACGCCCCCCACGCACGCUCCCACCCACGACCGUAGCUGCCCCACCCACGACUCCUCAUUCCUUCUCCCCCGAGCUCCCUCCCCUGUCCUUCUCCUUGAGCAGUAGCAUAUAGCAAGCCGCUGGCCAGCGCUCUCCUCUGUCCUUCUCCUUGAGCAGUAGCAUAGCAAGCCGCUGGCCAGCUCCCUCCUCUCUCCUCCUCAGAGCAGUCGCAUCUCGCCGGCCAACACCAGCCUGCCCGUCCGGUGCUCCCAAGCAGCCGCACGCUGAUCCCAGCACCCGCCCGUCGCCGAGCAGCGGCACGCCGCGGCCAGCGCCUGCGUGCCCGUCCGUCCGCCGCGGCCAGCGCCUGCGUGCCCGUCCGUCCUCCGCGUCCAGCGCAUCUCCAUCGUCGUCACAGCGUGAAGCUCCGCCACCUCGCGAGUUCGUCCUCACCCUCCGGCCGAGCACACCCCAGCUCCUCCGGCCGCGCACCCGAGCCCGUCGACAACGCGAGCUCCUCCUCACCCGCCAGCUGGGCGCUCCGCCUCGCGAGCUCCGCCGGUCACGCACCGCUCAUCCCCGAACUCGCUCGUGUGCCUCCCCGUGGCGCCGAAGCGAAUCAGCUCCCGAGGGCGGCUGGGCCGGACGGCAGCGCGGCUAAGCAGGGCCUGGCGGCGGCGCGACGAGCAGGCCGGGCGGCGCCGCGGCGGGGGUUGGGCUGGAUGGCGGGGCGAGCAGGGUACUACAGUGGAGAAGAAGGGCCGGAUUGCUUUUUAGUUUUAUGUUUUAGGGUCCUUUGUGUUAAUUGCUAGCUCUAUUUUGUAACUUUAGUUCUCUCGGGGUCCUGUUUGCAUUUUGUACUCCACUAAUGUUCGUUUUUGGUGGGAUGUACUGCACUAAUGUUGAAUGAAAGGCACUUGGCACGGCUGGGCCUUUCCCUGUUAAAACGAAGAAGAAAGAUUAGAUAGGGCAUUCGUAUGCGUUGACCACAUCGCUCGGGAGCAGCGCUGCUGUUCUUUUUUUAAUUUU
rnacentral:rRNA from 1 species